GACGAACGCUGGCGGCGUGCUUAACACAUGCAAGUCGAACGAAGUGGCGAACGGGGGAGUAAUACGUGGGUAGACUUCCCUCCUUUUUGGGGAAAGCCUUGGAAACGGGUUCUAAUUCCGGCUAACGGGUGAUGGGCUUGCGGCGUAUCAGCUUGUUGGUGUGGUGAUGGCCUUCCAAGGCGGUGACGGGUAGGCGGCCUGAGCGGGUGCCCGGACUAAGGGGGACUGCAAAACGGCACAGACGCCUACGGGAGGCAGCAGUGGGGGAUAGUGCACAAUGGGAGAAAGCCUGAGGCAGUGACGCAGGGUGGGGGAGGAAGGCUUUAGGGUUGUAAGCCUCUAUCGCUAUCGAAAGUGUAGGAGGAGAAGAAGCGCGGGCGAACUACGUGCCAGCAGCCGCGGAAUAC
rnacentral:rRNA from 1 species